rnacentral:rRNA from 1 species
UACAGAGGGGGCAAGCGUUAUUCGGAAUUAUUGGGCGUAAAGCGCUUGUAGGCGGCACGUCAAGUCGCGUGUGAAAUCCCCAGGCUUAACCUGGGAAGUGCGCGCGAAACUGACGAGCUUGAGUGCCGGAGAGGGUCGCGGAAUUCCCGGUGUAGAGGUGAAAUUCGUAGAUAUCGGGAGGAACACCAGUGGCGAAGGCGGCGACCUGGACGGACACUGACGCUGAGACGCGAAAGCGUGGGGAGCAAACAGG